rnacentral:misc_RNA from 1 species
GGCUCUUACUAAGCCAGCAAUGGCUGAUGAAGAUGAUCACAUCCCACUAAAUUUUGACCGUGAUUUUUUUCCAAAAGACUUCAUUUUUGGGACGGCCACUUCUGCUUACCAGGUAUAUGUGAACCUGUAUAUUCUGGGAUUGUAGCAGCAUGGGGUCACCCAACUUCUCUAAAAGGAUUCUGAUGAGUGUUUCUUCACUAAUUAAUAUUGUUUAUGGUAUUCAGAUUGAAGGUGCAGCAAACAAGUCGGGCAGAGGACCUAGUGUCUGGGACACCUUUACCCAUGAGACUUCAGGUAUAUAUCUUUGUGUGUAUGUGUCUUUUGAUUCUAUCUAAGUGCAAAAUGAUAAUUAUUUCUAUGAAAUCUUGCAGAGCGGAUAAGGGAUCGUAGCAAUGGAGAUGUUGCAGUUGAUUUCUAUCAUCGCUACAAAGUAUAAUAGUCAAACUUUUUUUUUUAUCUUAUAUAUUAUUUCUUCCCAAAAUAUAUCCUGUUUAUUAUCAAUAAUAAAAUUAAAUGAGAUUUACAAUGAACUUUAGUUCAACAAAGUUAUCUCUAGAGGUCUUGAGCUCGAAUUUCAGUCAAAGCUAAUUA